AUGCCGGCGCAGUUCCUCAAGAUUGGAUGUGUGCACUCUUGCAGGCUGGUGAUGACAACCAUCUUGGACGCCUUCUUCGAGGACCUCGGCUUGCUUAAGGCGAUGAUUGAUCGUCCGACUUACUCUGGUUGUGGCAUAGCAUGCACACUAGGUGUUUGUUCAUUUGUUUGUGCUGCCUUUGAUAGGUUCCCUGCCUGUCGAUUUUUUUUUCUCUGCCGAGAAGUGCAUAUUGUUGAUUGGUCCGGCUUACAAAGAGGAGUACCAGCUUCCCGAGUCUCUUACAGAAGCACUAAAUUGAAUACGAGGAGCAUGCCCAUGGACAAUUUCAUGUAUGUGUAUUGCCAUUGUGAUACAAGGUUAAGUGUGUAA
rnacentral:rRNA from 1 species